UACGUAGGGACCAAGCGUUGUUCGGAUUUACUAGGCGUAAAGGGCGCGUAGGCGGCGCGGUAAGUCACUUGUGAAAUCUCUGAGCUUAACUCAGAACGGCCAAGUGAUACUGCAGUGCUAGAGUGUGGAAGGGGCAAUCGGAAUUCUUGGUGUAGCGGUGAAAUGCGUAGAUAUCAAGAGGAACACCUGAGGUGAAGACGGGUUGCUGGGCCAACACUGACGCUGAUGCGCGAAAGCCAGGGGAGCGAACGGG
rnacentral:rRNA from 1 species